rnacentral:rRNA from 1 species
UAAGUAAGCGGAGGAUAAGAAACUAAAUAGGAUUCCCUUAGUAAUGGCGAAUGAACAGGGAUGAGCUCAACGUGGAAAUUGUGGCUUCUGGCCAUGAAUUGUAAUCUCUCGAUGCAUUGCCAAUGGGGGCGCAGAUGUAAGCCGCUUGGAAAAGCGAAUCAUUGAGGGUGAGAAUCCUGUUUGUCAUCUGCAGACCUCUGUGUACGGCGUGCCUUCUACGAGUCACGUUCCUUGGGAUUGGAGCGCAAAUUGGGUGGUAAAUUUCAUCUCAAGCUAAAUAUGGGUUCGAGACCGAUAGCAAACAAGUACCAUGAGGGAAAGAUGAAAAGGACUUUGAAAAGAGAGUUAAAAGUGCCUGAACUUGCUGAAAGGAAAGCGGAUGGAACCAGUCUUGCUUGGUGAGAUUGUUGCACGCUGCGAUGAGCACCUUUUGCUUUAGCGCAAGCGAAGCAAUGGGCGGCGACUCGUUCGCGUGUGAUGUUUCUUGCCUUGUCGGUCAUCAUCGGUUUGGCGGUGGGGAUAACUCUCGGACCAUGGUAGCUCGCCCCAGGGUGAGUGAAUGUGCCUUGUAGGACCUACCAACAAACUGUAGCGAUGGUGUGGGGUUGCGUUGCUUGUGCUGGGAUGCCUGGGGCUUGCCCAAGCGUCAUUCGCACGCACGAGCACCUUCCUUACAAUUCUAUGGUGACGAAAUGGUUCUAUUCGACCCGUCUUG